GGUCAAGCGGGUGAAAGCACACGGUGGAUGCCUUGGCAUCAAGGGCCGAAGAAGGGUGUAGUCAGGCUACAAUAAGCCUCGGUGAGCUGCCAAGCAAGCUUAGCCGGGGAUACCCGAAUGGGGCAACCCAUCCCGAUAAAAUCGGGAUACCCCCAGCUGAACACAUAGGCUGGGAGGAGGUAAGCAGGGGAAGUGAAACAUCUCAGUACCCUGAGGAAAAUAAAAGAUUCCCCUAGUAGUGGCGAACGAAAGGGGAAGAGCCCAAACUCUAUAAGCUAAGUGGUUCUGGGGCCUAUGCGUAUAGAGGGUUGUAAGACAGUUAAGACCGAGUCCAGAGUAGGUCGAGGAGUUACAAACCGAACCCUAGUCGAAUGUCCCUGGAAAGGGCGACCAUAGCAGGUGACAGUCCUGUAGACGAAAGGGCUAGGCUCCUUAGCUGUUCUUAAGUACCACGGGACACGAGGAAUCUUGUGGGAAUCCGCCCUGACCACAGGGCAAGGCUAAAUACCCUUGAUGACCGAUAGUGAACUAGUACCGUGAGGGAAAGGUGAAAAGUACCCCGAGAGGGGAGUGAAAUAGACCUGAAACCGUGUGCUGACAAGCAGUCAGAGCCUCGAUGCAAAUCGGGGUGAUGGCGUGCCUAUUGAAGAAUGAGCCGGCGAGUUAAUCUGUGUCGCUGGUUAAGCGAUCUAAGUCGCGGAGCCGAAGCGAAAGCGAGUCUGAAUAGGGCGAUUUAGUGGCACGGAUUAGACCCGAAGCUGGGUGAGCUAUCCAUGGCCAGGGUGAAGCUCCGAUAAAAUCGGAGUGGAGGCCCGAACUGGUCAGCGUUGCAAAGCUGUCAGAUGAGCUGUGGAUAGAGGUGAAAUGCCAAACGAACCCAGGGAUAGCUGGUUCUCCCCGAAAUGUAUUUAGGUACAGCCUCAGAUGUUCGCUGGUGGAGGUAAGGCUCUGGAUGGACUAGGGGGAUAAUAUCUUACCAACUCCAACCAAACCACUAAUGCCAUCAGCUAUAAAAUCUGGGAGUGAGACUGUGGGGGAUAAGCUCCAUAGUCGAGAGGGAAACAGCCCAGACCAUCAGCUAAGGUCCCUAAGAGCGGGCUAAGUGGCGAAGGCAGUAGGACUGCGUAGACAGCCAGGAGGUUGGCUUAGAAGCAGCCAUCCUUAAAAGAGUGCGUAAUAGCUCACUGGUUGAGUGGUGCUGCGCCGAAAAUUUAGCGGGGCUUAAGUCCGUCACCGAAGCUAUGGCUUCUCCUUUCUUAGGAAGGGGGAGGGGUAGGGGAGCGUUCUCUAAAGCCACGAAGCGGCUAUGUAAAUAACCGUGGAGCGAAGAGAAGUGAGAAUGCCGGCAUGAGUAGCGUAAGGUGUGUGAGAAACACACCCACCGAAGACCUAAGGUUUCCUACGCAAGGUUAAUCCGCGUAGGGUUAGUCGGGCCUAAGC
rnacentral:rRNA from 1 species